GAUGAACGCUAGCGGGAGGCCUAACACAUGCAAGCCGAGCGGUAGAGAUUCUUCGGAACCUUGAGAGCGGCGUACGGGUGCGGAACACGUGUACAACCUACCUUUAUCUGGAGGAUAGCCUUUCGAAAGGAAGAUUAAUACUCCAUAAUAUAUUGACUGGCAUCAGUUGAUAUUGAAAGCUCCGGCGGAUAAAGAUGGGCACGCGCAAGAUUAGCUAGUUGGUGAGGUAACGGCUCACCAAGGCGAUGAUCUUUAGGGGGCCUGAGAGGGUGAUCCCCCACACUGGUACUGAGAAGCGGACCAGACUCCUACGGGAGGCAGCAGUGAGGAAUAUUGGUCAAUGGGUGCAAGCCUGAACCAGCCAUCCCGCGUGAAGGACGACGGCCCUAUGGGUUGUAAACUUCUUUUGUAUAGGGAUAAACCUACUCUCGUGAGAGUAGCUGAAGGUACUAUACGAAUAAGCACCGGCUAACUCCGUGCCAGCCGCCGCCGUAACAC
rnacentral:rRNA from 1 species